UCCCAUUAAAAGGAAAAAAAAAAACAAUAAAUAAAUAAAUAAAAGGAAAGCUUAGAAAUCAAAGCCAGCGUCGUCGAAGCCAGCAUCAUAUCCGGCGUCAUAGGCAGCCAUCUCCCCAACAUCAGAAAUCAUGUCUCCGACAAGCAACCCACCCAGCAACCCAGCUCCCAAUCCCAAUGCCAUAUUCCCUGCACCGCUCUUCUUCGGCUUCUGCGGCUGCUGCAUCACCGCUGGAUACCCACCGUACCCAUGUGCUGGCGGGUAACCGUACCCGUACCCGGGAGCAUUAGGGUACCCUCCAUAUGCAUGUUGUGGAGGUGGUGGAUAUCCGCCUGGCGGCGGAUAACCCCCUGGUGGCGGAUAAGGAUACGGAACCUGUCCCUUGCCCGCUUCCGUAUGAUAGGGUGGUGGUGGAGGAUAUCCACCUGGAGGUGGAUAGGCAGAACUUGCACUAGCCCCUGCGCCUGGAUACCCCGCCGCUGGAUAUGCCAUUACGGGUUCGUCGACCUUUUUCGCCUUCUCCUGUGUGUGCAAUGGAGCCUCGAAUUUUUCUCCGAAUUUGAAGGAAAAAUUCAAAGUCCCUUUGGUUUUGCCACUAGAUGUCCUGACACCAUAGCUGACGUUACUUUCAUGCUCUGUUUUCUCAUCUCCGGAUUUAUGAGACAGCAGCUCCUUGAUGGGCACAUGUAUUUCACCGAUGUCUUUAUCUCCGAAGCUGCGAUCGGACUUGAGCUUGAUUUCGAGAAUAAGGCGGUUGUCCUUGGCAGAAGCUUCAUGGAUGGUGAAUUUCAUAGGAAAAUUCCAUUUGGGAUUGGUUCCACAAUCUUUAUCGACAGGAGUUUUCUGUUUCUGCUUGGAAUUAUAAGGAUCGCCCUUGAUGGAAACCUCGGCGUAAACAUCCAUCUUGGAGAACAUAUUAACAUCUUUAAUGUCCUUGGCUGAGAUCAGAGUGAUCUCUAAUGGUCUGCACUCCAUGAUAGAUCGGAAAUUCAACCAAGAAGAUCAAAGAAUUGGGCAGAAAAGAAAAGAGGAAAAACUGAGUUAUUGAACAGAUAAGAGAGACUCUUGUAUUGGGAAAUCUGGGGGAGAGGGAGAGAAAAAGGGCUAUAUAGAGGAGGAGGUUGGAGAGGAGGAGGAAAGUGGAAGGAAGAUUCGUUGGCUAUG
rnacentral:misc_RNA from 1 species